GAUGAACGCUGGCGGCGUGCCUAAUACAUGCAAGUCGAGCGAACAGAUGAGGAGCUUGCUCCUCUGACGUUAGCGGCGGACGGGUGAGUAACACGUGUAUAACCUACCUAUAAGACUGGGAUAACUUCGGGAAACCGGAGCUAAUACCGGAUAAUAUAUUGAACCGCAUGGUUCAAUAGUGAAAGACGGUUUUGCUGUCACUUAUAGAUGGAUCCGCGCCGCAUUAGCUAGUUGGUAAGGUAACGGCUUACCAAGGCAACGAUGCGUAGCCGACCUGAGAGGGUGAUCGGCCACACUGGAACUGAGACACGGUCCAGACUCCUACGGGAGGCAGCAGUAGGGAAUCUUCCGCAAUGGGCGAAAGCUUGACGGAGCAACGCCGCGUGAGUGAUGAAGGUCUUCGGAUCGUAAAACUCUGUUAUUAGGGAAGAACAAAUGUGUAAGUAACUAUGCACGUCUUGACGGUACCUAAUCAGAAAGCCACGGCUAACUACGUG
rnacentral:rRNA from 1 species